GGGCGCAAACCUGAUCCAGCCAUGCCGCGUGUGUGAAGAAGGUCUUCGGAUUGUAAAGCACUUUUGGCGGGGACGAUAAUGACGGUACCCGCAGAAUAAGCCCCGGCUAACUUCUUGCCAACAGCCGCGGUAAUACUAAGGGGGCUAGCGUUGCUCGGAAUGACUGGGCGUAAAGGGCGCGUAAGCCACUGGGCCUAACCAGGUGUGAAAUUCCUGGGCUCAACCUGGGUACUGCCUCUGAACUUACCUGCGCGCUAAAUUGUGGAAGAGGCUUGUGGAAUUUCCAGUGUAAAAGUGAAAUUCAAUUAUAUUGGAAAGAACACCGGUGGCAAAGGCGGCAACCUGGUCCUUUACUGACGCUGACGCCCUGAACCGUGGGGGACACUCAGGAUUAAAUACCCUGGUAGUCCACGCUGUUAACUAUGUUGGCUGGAUGUUGGGAAACUUAGUCAACUAGUUGUUGUUGGAUAACACGAUUUCACACCGCCUGCUAAGUACGGACGUUAGGCUCAUGGGAAAAGAA
rnacentral:rRNA from 1 species